GACGAACGCUGGCGGCGUGCCUAAUACAUGCAAGUUGAGCGCUGAAGGUUGGUACUUGUACCGACUGGAUGAGCAGCGAACGGGUGAGUAACGCGUGGGGAAUCUGCCUUUGAGCGGGGGACAACAUUUGGAAACGAAUGCUAAUACCGCAUAAAAACUUUAAACACAAGUUUUAAGUUUGAAAGAUGCAAUUGCAUCACUCAAAGAUGAUCCCGCGUUGUAUUAGCUAGUUGGUGAGGUAAAGGCUCACCAAGGCGAUGAUACAUAGCCGACCUGAGAGGGUGAUCGGCCAUGUUGGGACGGAGACACCGACCAAACUACUACAGGAGGCAGUAGGGAAUCUUCGGCAAGGGACGAAAGUCUGACCGAGCAACGCCGCGUGAGUGAAGAAGGUUUUCGGAUCGUAAAACUCUGUUGGUAGAGAAGAACGUUGGUGAGAGUGGAAAGCUCAUCAAGUGACGGUAACUACCCAGAAAGGGACGGCUAACUACGUG
rnacentral:rRNA from 1 species